rnacentral:rRNA from 1 species
UACGGAGGGUGCAAGCGUUAUCCGGAUUCACUGGGUUUAAAGGGUGCGUAGGUGGAUUAGUAAGUCAGUGGUGAAAUCUCCGGGCUUAACCCGGAAACUGCCAUUGAUACUAUUAGUCUUGAAUACCGUGGAGGUCAGCGGAAUAUGUCAUGUAGCGGUGAAAUGCUUAGAUAUGACAUAGAACACCAAUUGCCAAGGCAGCUGGCUACACGAGCAUUGACACUCAGGCACGAAGGCGUGGGGAUCAAACAGG